rnacentral:rRNA from 1 species
UACGUAGGGGGCAAGCGUUAUCCGGAUUUACUGGGUGUAAAGGGAGCGUAGACGGUAAUGUAAGUCUGAUGUGAAAGCCCGGGGCUCAACCCCGGGACUGCAUUGGAAACUGGCGCGCUUGAGUGCCGGAGAGGCAAGCGGAAUUCCUAGUGUAGCGGUGAAAUGCGUAGAUAUUAGGAGGAACACCAGUGGCGAAGGCGGCUUACUGGACAGUGACUGACGUUGAGGCUCGAAAGCGUGGGGAGCAAACAGG